UAAGGAAAUCUGAUUUUUUUGAAUUUCUUCACCAGUUUGUAAAACAAAUUUUGAAAAACUAUCCUGGAUAUAUAAGCUUUUAGCACUUUCACCGAGGGGGAAAAAAGGCCAAAGAAAAGCCAACCAGAGAAGCUUGAACCAGUUGUGGCUUAAAGAUGAGCAAAGAUGGCUUUGAAAUUACCUGCCCACAAAGAGAAGCUUGGUAAAACUAUCCUGGAUACACACAGAUUUCAAUCAAUGGUGAGAUGAGACCCUAACUCCAUUAAAAAUCACAAUACUAGCACACAUGAUUUGGUUCUUCAUCUUCUUUUUAUCAGAAAAUUACUCUGCUGUGAUACCUUGUAGUGCUAUCUUCCAUUCUAUCAUCUUAUUAUAGCCAUCUAAGAAGAGUUUUCUUCAAACUACUCCAUAUAUUUGGUCAAGCUGAUAGAUUAAAUAAUUGAAUUACAGAAAAGGAAAGGUAGCUGUUAAGGAAAUAGGACAUGGGAUGUCAAGUUCAUUCCUCGAAAUUGCACGUCAUUGUUUUUUGCAUUACAGUGGAAGAGAAGCAGAAAUACGCCAGGGCAGUGAAUGGAAGUGAAGGGACAGUUUCGAAAAGUAAGUUCUGCACUGGUCACACCGCCUCACUCUUGGGGUGUUUCCAGAAGAUUUAAGAAGGAUAAAUCUGUGUCCAGAAAAUCCAAAUGAUUUCAGAGAGAUCUUCCACGAAUACGCAGUGAGAUUAAAGUUUGUGAUGGAUGUUCUCUCUUAAUUCCAAGGAAAGGUCACUGAAUUUAGAAUAGAAAGCUUUUCAGACCAGUUUGGUGACAGAGGAUUGGUGAGAGGAAUGUUCAAUUUCUAUCCAAGGUGUUCUAGACCUGAUCUUGUUCUUGGUGUAAAGCCUCGUAGUGAUAGGUCAGGCAUAACAGUUCUGCUGCAAGACAGAGAAGUGGAAGGACUUCAAGUUUCAUAAAUGAUAAUUGGGUUAGAGUCCCAUAGUUCCCGAUGCACUUGUUGUUAAUCUCGGAGAUCAAAUGCAGGUAUAUGCUUGUCUUUCUGGCAUGGCUAUAUUGACAAAGUAUUUUGCAUGAAAAUCUGAAACUUGAGAAGUAUAUAAUCGUCAGAUAAUCAAGACUCCAGUGAACAAGUAGCAGUUGCCUAGGACCGUAGGACGACAGUCAUAGUUUCCUGCAUGCCACAUUUCUGAAUUUUAUCACUGGUUUUUUGAAACAUUGCAGAUAAUGAGUGAUGGGAUGUUCAGAAGUCCAUUGCUACGGGUAGUAACGAACUCAGAAUUAUAUAAAUUAUAUCUUGAGAUCUCAUCUAAUAAUUUAAGUUUUUGAAUUAAAAUGGUUUGUUGUCUUAUUCAACGAACCAGACCCAGAAAAAGAUAUUGGCCCAGUGGAUUGCUUGGUGGAUGAGCAAAGACCAAGACUAUACAGAAAUGUUAAAAAUUAUGGCCUCAUCUACUAUGAGUGGCACCAGAAAGGCAAUGUUGCAAUUGACACAGAAAUGUUAAAAAUUAUGGCCUCAUCUACUAUGAGUGGCACCAGAAAGGCAAUGUUGCAAUUGACACGCUAAAAAUUUCCUCGUGGUGUACACUCUGUUGCUUCUUGUUCAGCUAAUUGAUUUUGAAAGUUGAAUGGUCAAAGCUACUGAAUUAUUGGAGUUCAGGGUCAUCGUAGAGCCAUGGUUCCAUCUUGUGAUUUUAUAAUAAAUUACCUGUUCAAAUUAACAACAUUGUAUUUGAUCAGGUUGAUAAAUUUUAUAAUUGAAUUAAGCAAUCCAAUAAUUUUCCUCCCUAA